rnacentral:rRNA from 1 species
UACGAAGGGGGCUAGCGUUGUUCGGAAUUACUGGGCGUAAAGCGCACGCAGGCGGCUCGAUAAAUUAGAAGUGAAAGCCCCGGGCUUAACCUGGGAAUUGCUUUUAAGACUGUCGGGCUAGGAUCCAGAAGAGGGUAGUGGAAUUCCGAGUGUAGAGGUGAAAUUCGUAGAUAUUCGGAAGAACACCAGUGGCGAAGGCGACUACCUGGUCUGGCAUUGACGCUCAUGUGCGAAAGCGUGGGGAGCAAACAGG